rnacentral:snRNA from 1 species
AGCUUUGCACAGUGGUAGUAUCAUAACCAAUGAAGUGAAUUGAGGUGUGAUUAUUGCUACUUGAAAUCGCUCCUCUCCCCCGUUCCUGUGGUAGAUGGUACAGUACUACUGUAGACAGCAGAAACUG